UGCCCCCUGGCCCAGCUGGUUAAGGCGCACGACUGUUAAUGUCCCGUGAUGUAACUUAACAUCACGUGAGUGAUCGUGAGAUCGUGAGUUCGAGCCUCACGGGGGCAG